AUUGAACGCUGGCGGCAUGCCUUACACAUGCAAGUCGAACGGCAGCACGGGAGCUUGCUCCUGGUGGCGAGUGGCGAACGGGUGAGUAAUACAUUGGAACGUACCCAGUAGUGGGGGAUAACGCACCGAAAGGUGCGCUAAUACCGCAUACGACCUAGGGGUGAAAGCGGGGGACCGUAAGGCCUCGCGCUAUUGGAGCGGCCGAUGUCUGAUUAGCUAGUUGGCGGGGUAAUGGCCCACCAAGGCGACGAUCAGUAGCUGGUCUGAGAGGACGAUCAGCCACACUGGGACUGAGACACGGCCCAGACUCCUACGGGAGGCAGCAGUGGGGAAUUUUGGACAAUGGGGGCAACCCUGAUUCAGCAAUGCCGCGUGUGCGAAGAAGGCCUUCGGAUUGUAAAGCACUUUUGUCAGGGAAGAAAUCUUUUGGGCUAAUACCCCGGAAGGAUGACGGUACCUGAAGAAUAAGCACCGGCUAACUACGUGCCAGCCGCCGCGGUAA
rnacentral:rRNA from 1 species